CAAAUCCUUCUCAAAUCUUGCAAAUCCGGAGUAUUUGACCAUGGAUUUCGAAGCCAACCCCUCCCUUAAGGGAUGAGGAGAACAUGUGUUUAUGUUCAUCAUGUGGAUAGAGAGGCCUUUUUGAAAGGCAAUGUUGAGACGGACCCGAAUGAGCUUGAUAUGGUGUUUGAGAGUAGUCCUAGCUAUGCGGAGCUUUUGGAACAAGUGAGGAAAGAUUUGAAUUGGACGGACCCAAGUGACGUUGUUGA